AACGAGGUGGCCGGAGUGGUUAAAGCGAUGGACUACUAAUCCAUUGUGCUUUACCUUGGCGUGGGUUCGAAUCCCAUCCCUCGUCG